rnacentral:rRNA from 1 species
UACGAAGGGGGCUAGCGUUGCUCGGAAUCACUGGGCGUAAAGCGCACGUAGGCGGCUUUCUAAGUCAGGGGUGAAAUCCUGGAGCUCAACUCCAGAACUGCCUUUGAUACUGGAGAGCUUGAGUCCGGAAGAGGUGAGUGGAACUCCGAGUGUAGAGGUGAAAUUCGUAGAUAUUAGGAAGAACACCAGUGGCGAAGGCGGCUCACUGGCCCGGUACUGACGCUGAGGUGCCGAAAGCGUGGGGAGCAAACAGG